rnacentral:rRNA from 1 species
CCUACGGGGGCAGCAGUGGGGAAUAUUGGACAAUGGGCGAAAGCCUGAUCCAGCCAUGCCGCGUGUGUGAAGAAGGCCUUCGGGUUGUAAAGCACUUUCAGUGGGGAAGAAAGCCUUGGGGCUAAUACCCUCGAGGAAGGACAUCACCCACAGAAGAAGCACCGGCUAACUCCGUGCCAGCAGCCGCGGUAAUACGGAGGGUGCGAGCGUUAAUCGGAAUUACUGGGCGUAAAGCGCGCGUAGGCGGUCUGAUAAGCCGGUUGUGAAAGCCCCGGGCUCAACCUGGGAACGGCAUCUGGAACUGUCAGGCUAGAGUGCAGGAGAGGAAGGUAGAAUUCCCGGUGUAGCGGUGAAAUGCGUAGAGAUCGGGAGGAAUACCAGUGGCGAAGGCGGCCUUCUGGACUGACACUGACGCUGAGGUGUGAAAGCGUGGGUAGCAAACAGGAUUAGAUACCCGAGUAGUC